UUUUUUUUUUUCGUGGUUGCUCUAGUGUUUACACUAUUUGUUUCAACAUUACAAUUUAUCUUCAAAUAAUAUACUAUUUCACUUAUUGUAUAAGAAUCUUACAAGUUCCUGCCAUGGCACAGUGGGUUAAUAAUCUAACUGCAAUGGCUCGAGUCAUGGCAGAGGUGCACGUUCAAUCCCUGGCCUGGUGCAGUGGGUUAAAAGAGUCCAGCAUUGCUGCAGCUGCAGUGCAGGUUGCAAGUGCAGCCUGGAUUCACUCCCUGGCCUGGGAACUUCUAUAUGCCGUAGGCAGAGCCAUAGGGGGAUUUUAAAAAAUCCUUUAACAAUGUGUUUCCAUUCCCUCCAACUUUUGUUCAAUUGUUGUCACAUAUUUUAUUUUCACAAGUGUUAUAAAUGCCAGAAUACAGUAUUGUGUUUGUUUUAAGCAGUUAAUUAUUUUUUUAAAAAUUAGAGGGGAAAGGGAGCUCCUGCUGCACCAUGGAUACCAGUCUGUUAAGAAUCCGGCAUUGUCUGUGAGGCAGUGUGGAUUCAAUCCCUGGCCUGGUGCAGUAGGUUAAAGAUCUGGCAUUGCUGCAGCUGUGGCAUAAGUUGCAGCUGUGGACCAAUUCGAUCCUUGGCCUUCAACUUCUAUAUACCACAAGUACGGCCAGAAAAAAAAAAAAUAAAUAAGAGGGGAAAGUCUUUUAUACUUAUUCACAUAUUUACUAUUUCUAUCAUUCUUGAAUCCUUUGGAUAUAUCCAAAUUUCUACCUAGUAUCAUUUUCCUUUUAUCUUUUAUUUGAAGGACCUUAAACAUUUUUAAUAGUCCUUACCUAUUGGUAAUGAACUCUCUGAGCUUUAGUAUGUUUAAAAGUCUUUUUUGCCUUCAUUUUUAAAGUCUUUUUUUCUGGAUAUAGAAUUAUUGGUUGACAGUUAAUACUUUCAAGAUGUUGCUCCACUGUCUUCUGCUUGUGUUGUUUCUGACGUCUGCUGUCACUUUUAUCCUUGUUCUUUUGAACACAGUUUGUCUUUUUUUCUCUAGCCGCUUUUAAGACUUGCCCUUUACUACUCUAGUGACCUACAAUGUAAAUUCAUAAAGUCAGCUUAGUCCAAAUUUAACAUCCAUGGUCUCUGUAUCAUUCAUCUAUUCUGGACCUUUUCAACCUCACCGUAUCUCAUAGGCAAUGGAUGACUUUUGUUUGUUUGUUUGUUUUUUGUCUUUUUGCCCUUUCUAGGGCUGCUCCCACGGCACAUGGAGGUUCCCAGACAGGGGUCCAAUCAGAGCUGUAGCUGCCACAGGCCCACACCACAGCAACAGCAACGCAGGAUCUGAACUGCGUCCGCGACCUACACCUCAGCUCACAGCAACGCCAGAUCCCCAACCCUCUGAGCAAGGCCAGGGGUUGAACCCACAACCUCAUCAUUCCUAAUCAGAUUCGUUAACCACUGACCCAUGAUGGGACCUCCAAAGGAUGACUUUCUGAUGUGACUUUUGAAGUGAGCUGCACGAUCACCUCAAGGAUAGCUCCCCUCCUCAUUUCCACUUUUUUUUUUUUUUUUUUGUCUUUUUGUCUUUUUAGGGCCACACCCAUGGGCAUAUGGAGCGGCCCUAGAAAAGGCAAAAAGACAAAAAAAAAAAAAAAAAAAAAAGAAUUUCAAGAUGAUAAUAACAUUAAACCAAGUGAGGAGCCCUCUGAGCAUGGAGCCCUGCACAACUGCUAGCUCUGUGUGACAGGGACAUAAAUACCACUAACAAGGUGCAUCAGUGCCAGGAAUUCCUUUCCUGUGUUUGUUUAAUUCUGAUGGUAAAUACUUAAAUAUUUUUGUUCUCUUUUUUAAAGUGUGAAUAUUGAAAACUACUGAAAAAACAUUUUCUUGGUAUACUCAAAUCAUGCUUCAUGGUUAGUUUCAAACAGACUGCCUGAGUUCCUAUCCUGCUGGAUUUAAUCUUAGGCAGGUUAAAUAACUUCUCUGUAUCUCAGUUCCUCAUUUGCGAAAAUGUGGAUAAUAACAGUGUCUAACUUAAGAGAUUGUUAUAGGGUAAAUGAGAUCAUAUAUGUUAGGUGCUAAAUAUAGUGCCUGAGGCUCCAGCUAGCAACUUUACACAAAUUAGAAAAAGAGCUCCUUUGGGCAGAUGAAUUAAAAGGUUCUACCCCUCACCAAUGAGUCAAAGGAAGUUACCCCUUCCAGGUCUGUGCUUCAGAGCUUGGCUGAAUUUCAGUUCCACUCCUACCCUUGGAAGUCCCCUUUGUACCAGCCAUAAGUGCUUAAGCAUGUGGGUGGCCAUGCUAACAUCUGGUGCAUAGUAAAUGCUCCAUAAAAUCACAGCUUUUGUGAGGCCUGUGAAGUGUAGUGGUUAAAUCCAUGGCCUCUGGAAUCAGAUCUAGAUGUAGAAUUGUUGAGUUGUGAAGUCUGUCUUCAAUACUCUCCACUAUCCUUCUGUAUGUCCCCUCUCCCUGCUUCCUCCUUGAAGCAUCUCUGCUCUCCUACAUCUUGUCUGAAGGAACUCUACAGUUAGGCAGUUCAGAAAGCCAAAGACUGUCAGGUGCUGAUUAGUUUCCUUGGGAGCAAGACCUUCAAGAGGCAAAGUCUGGCAGGACUCUUCAGCCUCGGCCUUGAAUUCUGGCUUCUGAAUCAAUAGAAAAUGUGUACAGGGAGCAAGAAAAUAGCCUUGUAUUCACUACGGCCUUAACUGAUAUUUCAUAUCCCCAUAUGGUAAAGGGUUCAAAAUUGAUUUAUUUAUAGUCAUCUGAUAAUUUCUUUCAGAGCAGAAGCCAUGUGCUAAAUUCCUUUUAACCCCUGCAAUGUUAGGUACUUAAUAUGUAUUUAGUUAGUAUGCAUUCAGUAUUAAUAGCAUCAUUGGUAUUGCACUUUGCAAGAUGCUUUCAUAGAAACUGCCUCAUUCUAUUUUACUGCAGCCUUAUGAAAUAGGCAGAAUCGCCCUUUUGAGAUCAAAUUUACAGAUGAGAAAGGUAAGAUCCAAGAAGGCACAUGGCCU
rnacentral:lncRNA from 1 species